AGCAGUCUCUUGAUGAGCACACGGACAGAGACAGUGAUGGCACGGACGCAAGUGUGGACUCUGACUUUGAGCAACCCAGUGGACACGCUGUAGUAGACAGUGAUGGCGAAGAGGGGACGUCAAACAAUGAACCUGAAAGACAGUCUCUUGAUGAGCACACGGACAGAGACAGUGAUGGCACGGACACAAGUGUGGACUCUGACUUUGAGCAACCCAGUGGACACGCUGUAGUAGACAGUGAUGGCGAAGAGGGGACGUCAAACAAUGAACCUGAAAGACAGUCCCUUGAUGAGCACACGGACAGAGACAGUGAUGGCACGGAAGCAGGCUUGGACUCUGACUUUGAG